AACGAACGCUGGCGGCAGGCUUAACACAUGCAAGUCGAGCGCCCCGCAAGGGGAGCGGCAGACGGGUGAGUAACGCGUGGGAAUCUACCCAUCUGUACGGAAUAACGCAUGGAAACGUGUGCUAAUACCGUAUACGUCCUUCGGGAGAAAGAUUUAUCGGAGAUGGAUGAGCCCGCGUUGGAUUAGCUAGUUGGUGGGGUAAAGGCCUACCAAGGCGACGAUCCAUAGCUGGUCUGAGAGGAUGAUCAGCCACACUGGGACUGAGACACGGCCCAGACUCCUACGGGAGGCAGCAGUGGGGAAUAUUGGACAAUGGGUGCAAGCCUGAUCCAGCCAUGCCGCGUGAGUGAUGAAGGCCCUAGGGUUGUAAAGCUCUUUCACCGGUGAAGAUAAUGACGGUAGCCUGAGAAGAAGCCCCGGCUAACUUCGUGCCAGCCGCCGCGGUAAUAC
rnacentral:rRNA from 1 species